AGCGGCGGACGGGUGAGUAAUGCUUAGGAAUCUGCCUAUUAGUGGGGAACAACAUUCCGAAAGGAAUGCUAAUACCGCAUACGUCCUACGGGAGAAAGCAGGGGAUCUUCGGACCUUGCGCUAAUAGAUGAGCCUAAGUCGGAUUAGCUAGUUGGUGGGGUAAAGGCCUACCAAGGCGACGAUCUGUAGCGGGUCUGAGAGGAUGAUCAGCCACACUGGGACUGAGACACGGCCCAGACUCCUACGGGAGGCAGCAGUGGGGAAUCUUAGACAAUGGGGGCAACCCUGAUCUAGCCAUGCCGCGUGAGUGAUGAAGGCCUUAGGGUUGUAAAGCUCUUUCAGCUGGGAAGAUAAUGACGGUACCAGCAGAAGAAGCCCCGGCUAACUCCGUGCCAGCAGCCGCGGUAAUACGGAGGGGGCUAGCGUUGUUCGGAAUUACUGGGCGUAAAGCGCACGUAGGCGG
rnacentral:rRNA from 1 species